AAGGGGGAUUAAAGCUUCUAGUGGAGGGAUUUGUGAAAGGAAACCCUAAAUUAUCAUCUUUAUUGAGGUGUUAAGGUACUUUGCUUACAAACUUCCUCUUUGUUCAUGCUAAUGUCAAAUUAGUGGUUUGUGGUGGUUAAAUAUGUUAUUGUAUGGAAGAUUUUAUGGUUUGAGGUAGAAUUAGCUAAAUUUCUGUUUUUUUUUUGGGAAUUUUCUGUUUUUAUAUGAUAUUGGUUGGCCAUGAAUGAUGGCUUGAUAUGGUGAGAAAUGAAGCAUUUGUGUGUUAGUUGUAGUUGUUUGCGGAAAAUUUCAGACUUUGUGCGAAAAUUCCAGCUUAGGGUUAGUAAUCUGCCCUGAUUUUGCACUACAUAUUCGUCCUUGAACGAGGCCGAAUCAGCCUUUUCCCAAAACAUGAAAGUUGUUGGUAAUUGAGUUGUCUAGCUACCUGUAAAAUUUCAGCUCAAUUGGAGCACUGUAACAUGUAAAAUGACCAAAAAAUCCUUGACUGCCCAUGAGCCCUGUUCCGCGGACAGCUUUCUGUUUUCGUGGAGAUUUUCAUUUUUUGACCCUGAAAAUGCAUUAUUUGGCUUUGGAGGUCUUCAUAAGAAAUGUAGGUAUAUGUCUUGGCUUCGAAACGCCAUAAGAUUUGUUGCAAUCCGAUAAGUGUACCUUCAAUUGUGGUUGUUAUACCGAAAGAUGUAUUUUAUCGCCUAUAAUUUGUAUAUGAAAUUGUGGUUGUUUUGGAAUGUGAGUUGGUGUUUGAUUGUAGGAUGGAAAGUAAAGAAAGUAAGGGGAGAUGCUGUCCACUUGUUUUCUUGUAGUUUGAGUGCGUAAAAGUGAGAUUUGACAUGUGAUUUGGUGAUGCGUUGGACUUACUUUGCUUGGACAUACUUAGGUCCACUUAAUGGUGUUAUUUGAGCUACCUUUCAUUUGAACUUCUACAUUUUUGCAUGGUGAAUGAGACAACCGUUUUAAGCAUGAUACUUAUCUACAAAUGUCAAGUUUUGCACUUCAAAUGGUUACUCAUUUCUUUCCGAAACAAAGAAGAAUUGCCUAGGGUUUCUUGGCCGAAAACCUAAUUUCAUCACGCGAGGCUUUAGGUGUGAAUUUAGGGUUUCUUUAUUUUCCUUUUCUCGGCCGUAAAAUCUACAUGUAUACUUUUUACUUUAAAACUCACAUUUAUAUAUUGUACUAGUAAGUAUUCGGAUUUUCUUUGACUUACUUAAACUCUUGAUGGUUGAACUGUGAUAGUUUCUCUUGGUUAUUAGGGUUCCUUGGUGAUUGAGGGUAUUACCCGGAGGGUUCCUUUGGGCGUUAUUUUGCGUAAAUAGGUGAGUAUUCCUUGUUUGUUAUAUUUUCAUUGACUAUGUGACUUGUUCUUGAUUAUAUGACUUGUUAUGAAUGAAUGAUAACAUGUUACAAGGUUUCAAUGAUUGCUUAAAAUGAGUUUUCUAGGCGAGUAUGUACUUUAUCGCACUCGACCUAAAUGAAAUGUGAAAUUUUCAAUGAUUGAAUGAUUAUAUGUGCAUGAAUGUAAGUCUCUUGGCUAAACUGGACCCUGCCCUUCGUUACUGAUCGACUCGAGCCAGAAGCGGACUCGGUCGGGUGAUUUAGUGACCCUGGGUGAACGUUGGGUAUACUCGAGUAUUACCUUGUAGUCUGUUGGAGCUUGGCCAACGUCCAGGAGGGGGUGAAAUGAAAUGAAUGAACGAAUGUCAAUGUAAAUGAAGGAUUUUACUUAUCAAAAUGCAUUUUCAAACGAUUGGAGGAAUAAAGAAAUGAAAGGAGAAUGAAUGAACGAAUGAAUGAAUGGCUCCAUGUGAGCACGUAUCCUUUUAAUGAAUGUUAUUAUUGUUUUAUAUUGUCAUGUUUCUUGAAUUACUUGCUAUCUAUGGUUAACGUAUUGAACUCAUUGUUUGUUUAUGUGUUUGGAACCUCACCGAGCUUUUAGCUCAUUCCGUUAGUUUUGUUUCCUUAACAGGGGAUGCGAGCAAGGACGAGAGCUCUGUAUAAACUAGUUUAGUCUAGUUUUUUGGAUUCUUUUGUAAUGGUUCUCGCUCUAACACUUGGCAAGGGUUGGAUGUAUGAGGAUUGGGAACCUUUGUAUAUUUGAAUUUUGUAAUUCCUUUGGAGAUAGGAAUGUAUAUAAGUUUAUGUUUUAAGUUUGAGAUCGU
rnacentral:lncRNA from 1 species